UACGAAGGGGGCUAGCGUUGCUCGGAAUCACUGGGCGUAAAGGGUGCGUAGGCGGGUCUUUUAAGUCAGGGGUGAAAUCCUGGAGCUCAACUCCAGAACUGCCCUUGAUACUGAGGAUCUUUGAGUUCGGGAGAGGUGAGUGGAACUGCGAGUGUAGAGGUGAAAUUCGUAGAUAUUCGCAAGAACACCAGUGGCGAAGGCGGCUCACUGGCCCGAUACUGACG
rnacentral:rRNA from 1 species